UGGAAGAUUAGGAAUUGCAGUAUUUCAGAUUCCAACUUCCAGAUCUUAGGGGCAAUUUGUGCAUCUGUACCCACAGACCUGGAGACGGUGGGCGAUCUCGUACCAACCCCUCGCCCUCGCCAGCGACCCAGAGUCAGGGUGCAGGGUUCCUGGUGCGGUCCUGGAGAAAACGUGAAAGCGAGGGGUGGAUGGUGGAGAGGGGGCGAAGGUGCCGCGGGCCGCGGAGCAGAAACCCAGAACGCGCAGCAUGGGAGCCCUGGCCAGAAACCCAGCACAGGGCGUCAGCUUGGCGCCGAAGACCCCGGAGAAGAGCAGAGGAAGAAGGAGAGACCCAGUUCGAAGGCUCCAGUUCCAGAGAGAAGCAGAUGGAUAUGUUCAAGGAAGAGAG
rnacentral:lncRNA from 1 species